GGGUGCGUGGGUGGGAGG
rnacentral:miRNA from 1 species